UACGAAGGGGCUAGCGUUGUUCGGAUUUACUGGGCGUAAAGCGCACGUAGGCGGAUUGUUAAGUCAGGGGUGAAAUCCUGGAGCUCAACUCCAGAACUGCCUUUGAUACUGGCAAUCUCGAGUCCGGAAGAGGUGAGUGGAACUCCUAGUGUAGAGGUGGAAUUCGUAGAUAUUAGGAAGAACACCAGUGGCGAAGGCGGCUCACUGGUCCGGUACUGACGCUGAGGUGCGAAAGCGUGGGGAGCA
rnacentral:rRNA from 1 species